GCCGAGAUGCUGAAAUAGGUAGACAGGCACGGCUUAGGACCGUGUGCCCUUUACGGGCGUGUGGGUUCGAUUCCCGCUCUCGGCACCA
rnacentral:tRNA from 1 species